rnacentral:rRNA from 1 species
AUACGUAGGGGGCGAGCGUUGUCCGGAAUGAUUGGGCGUAAAGGGCGCGUAGGCGGCUUUGCAAGUCAGUAGUGGAAGUCCAUUUUUCAAGGAUGGAAGUGCUACAGAAACUGCGGAGCUUGAGUGCAGGAGAGGUUAUCGGAAUUCCCGGUGUAGCGGUGAAAUGCGUAGAGAUCGGGAGGAACACCAGUGGCGAAGGCGGGUAACUGGACUGCAACUGACGCUGAGGCGCGAAAGUGUGGGGAGCAAACAGGAUUAGAUACCCUGGUAGUCCACACGGUAAACGAUGAAUGCUAGGUGUAGGAGGUAUCGACCCCUUCUGUGCCGCAGUAAACACAGUAAGCAUUCCGCCUGGGGAGUACGGUCGCAAGAUUAAAACUCAAAUGAAUUGACGGGG